AUUUUCUCAGAGCACAUAUACUAAAAUUGGAACAAUACACAAAAGAUUAGCAUGGCCCCUGUGCAAAGCUGACACACAAAUUUGUGAAGCAUUCCAUAUUUAA